rnacentral:rRNA from 1 species
AUGAGUGAUAUAACUGGUUGGUCACACCCGUUCCCAUCCCGAACACGGAAGUUAAGCAACUCCCUCGCCACUUUUGAGUAUUAAUAUGCAAAGAAUGGUCUAUUGCGCAUU